rnacentral:snoRNA from 1 species
AGCCUCCUGUUGCUUACCACAUGCUGUGCUCUUACCUUGACUAUAUAGAAAGAGGAGACAAAGUAAACCUACCCUCCAUAUACACCUCAGCCCAGGCUCUGUGCCUGGCUGCAUUGUGAAUGGUGAGACACGG